GACGCAGUCUAGUAUAACUCGCUUUGUCUGUGUGAAACUGCGAAUGGCUCAUUAAAUCAGUUAUAGUUUAUUUGAUAUAACCUUACUACUUGGAUAUCCGUGGUAAUUCUAGAGCUAAUACAUGCAAUUAAAAUCCUGACUUCUGGAAGGGAUGUAUUUAUUAGAUAAAAAACCAACCCGGCAACGGUUCUUUGGUGAUUCAUAGUAACUUUUCGAAUCGCAUGACUUUACGUCGGCGAUGGUUCAUUCAAAUUUCUGCCCUAUCAAGUUUCGAUGGUAGGAUAGAGGCCUACCAUGCUUUUUACGGGUAACGGCGAAUUAGGGUUCGAUUCCGGAGAGGGAGCCUGAGAAACGGCUACCACAUCUAAGGAAGGCAGCAGGCGCGCAAAUUACCCAAUCCUGAUUCAGGGAGGUAGUGACAAUAAAUAACAAUCCAGGACUUCGGUCUUGGAAUUGGAAUGAGAACAAUUUAAAUCUCUUAUCGAGGAACAAUUGGAGGGCAAGUCUGGUGCCAGCAGCCGCGGUAAUUCCAGCUCCAAUAGCGUAUAUUAAAGUUGUUGCAGUUAAAUAGCUCGUAGUUGAAUCUUGGGGCUGGUUUGGCGGUCGCGUCUUUGACGUGUACUGUCGGCCGGUUCUUUUACUUGUGGGGAACGUAUGUGCCCUUUGCGGGGUGUGUACGGGAACCAUGGCUGUUACUUUGAAAAAAUUAGAGUGUUUAAAGCGGGCGUAAGCUUGUAUACAUUAGCAUGGAAUAAUAGAAUAGGACUUUGGUUUUAUUUUGUUGGUUUCUAGGGCCGAAGUAAUGAUUAAUAGGGAUAGUUGGGGGCAUUAGUAUUUAAUAGUCAGAGGUGAAAUUCUUGGAUUUAUGAAAGACUAACUUCUGCGAAAGCAUUUGCCAAGGAUGUUUUCAUUAAUCAAGAACGAAAGUCAGGGGAUCGAAGAUGAUCAGAUACCGUCGUAGUCCUGACCGUAAACUAUGCCGACUAGGGAUCGGGCGUUGUAUUUCAUGACACGCUCGGCACCUUAUGAGAAAUCAAAGUCUUGGGACCGGGGAG
rnacentral:rRNA from 1 species